CAAGAAGCUUCCGGGCAUCAGAGACGAGAAAUAGUUGGCCAACUAUUCACUAUCGCUGGAACAGGCGCACAUCUCAGACCGCCAACACAGCCCUACAGCGCGAGCCUCGCUUGAUGCCGGAGGGACGCUCGCGGUUUCAAUGCCAUCUGAUGCCGAGGACGUCCCCGUGCGAGUCAGACGAUGAAAAGGGCCAUCAGCAGAGAGGACUGUUUUAUUUCUAAAGGUUACACUUCCCAAAUUAAGUGAAAAGUCUGCUCUGUUUAUCUUGCUCGGAGAAAAGGCUCGAGGAUGAGCGCUUUGAGCGGGAAUACGAAAUAGCUGUGCAUUGCCGCAGUCGCGGGUGCGAGGGCUCUCUAGUCGGAAUAUUUGCUUCCUGUUAUUACUGUUAUUGUUUUAAAGAGAGUCGGAAAGAGCUUGCACGUCGGUUAAUCUGCCUGGAUUCAAACCAGUGGGGUGUUGAAGAUGGAGUCGCGAGCUGGAAUCCAGGCCUCUCUAUUCCAAUCUCGCAUUCCACGAGGAUGUUCUGCAUGAGGAAGAUUUUCAUUUGGGGAAAUCAAGUCAAAUGGCCACCUUCCCUUCCGCGUGCGCGAAUGCUGUCGAGUCCUCUGCGUUAUUCAAGUGUAACAUUGACCCUUACUGUGCUCUGAUCGAUAUUCAGACAUACAAUUAUCAUGAAACUGAUAGUUAUAUGUCUAUUUAGAUGCUGUAUAUGAUCUUUCUAGGGGUUUGUGUAAAACGUCAUCUUGGGUAUGUUGACCAAGGAGCAGAUUUGCAGAGAAAGGGUACAUAUCAGUGAAGACGCCCACAUCAUCCGAGUGUGCUUCUGAAGGAUUCUGCGGCGCGCAAACCCUCAAUGAGAUACGCUGUAUUCAUUUAUUAAAAGAGAGAGCCUUCUUUUAACAAA